rnacentral:lncRNA from 1 species
CAAAUGCCUUUAAUCCCAGCACUUGCAGGGCAGAGGCAAGCAGAUAGAUCUUUGUGAAUUUGAGGUUAGCCUGGUUGACAGCCAGGCUGUUACACAGAGAAACCCUGUCUUCAAAGACAAAAAAAAAAUAUUUUAUAUGUGUGGGUGUUUUGUUUGUACAUAUAUUUACGGGCCACUUGCAUCAGAAGCCAGAAGAUGGCAUCAGAUCCUCUGGAACUGAAGUAUUGGAUGGUUGUGAGACACGGUAUGGGCUCUAGGAACGGAAUCAGGGUCCUCUGGAACAGCAGCCAGCUUCCCUAACUGCUGAAGCAUCUCUCUGGCUUAUGUAACCACAUGCAGAGACUCUGUAUCUAAACUCUGCAGCUUCUUUAAAUAUUUUGUAGCCAUUUGGUCACUUACCUAUCUACAUGUGCAUAAUGAACACACACACACACACACACACACACACACACACAGUGACAUGUAACCUGAAACUCAAAGUUAUUAUCUAAGACUAAAGUAAGAAGAUAAACCUUGCUUGCCAACAGCCAGGCCAUCAAAGGAAACUCAAAUUACUUGUAAAUUGUCGAAAACCAAAGUAACUUUUGAAUUUACUGUUACCUGAUACAUUCUGACAUCGUGGAAAGACACAAGAGUGUGCUAUGUUUCUGACACUCUGUAUUCACAACACCUGCCCAGAGUAGAGUAGAUCAAACCUGCCGGGGUCAACUAAACAUGCCCACUGUCUCCUAGGUCAACUAAACAUGCCCACUGUCUCCUAGGUCAACCAAACAUGCCAAACACUGUCCCCUAGGUCAACCAAACAUGCCAAACACUGUCCCCUAGGUCAACCAAACAUGCUAAAAUACUGUCCCCUAGGUCAACUAAACAUGGCAAACACUGUCCCCUAGGUCAACCAAACAUGCCAAACACUGUCCCCUAGGUCAACCAAACAUGGCAAACACUGUCCCCUAGGUCAACUAAGCACAUUCACACACUUCACCUUCUAUACAGGCUUGCUGGAGUUCCUGCCAAGCCAGAAACAGGUGUUUUUCUUUUUUUUUAAUGUGGUUCUCUACAAGAUUACUGCUUGUCAUGAGGCCCUUGGCACUCCUAAUGCCUCCCCUAAUUCCUUAGUCACCUAGAGUCACCCAAAAUGGGUUGGGAGAGCAACUGUUUCUUCUCUUCAGGGUCCAGGACAUCCUCAUGUAGCUAAAUCUCUAAUGAGACAACUGCCAUCAAGCCUACCGUUAUAGACCGACAGAUAAAUAUGCACAUGAUAUAUGGAAAUAACGCUGAUUCAGAGUCCAUGCUUAGACAAACUCCUUUUGUCUGUUGCUAAGUCCUUGCAAGGCUUAGAUCCUGGAAUCCUGACUAGGGCCAGUGAGGAAGAAAUGACAAAUACAUUAGCACACAGACAAGCUGGGCUCAGGUGGUCUUCACUCUGUAAUAGAAAAGCCACAGCACUGCAGAAUCCCGGUGUGAUUAUGGCAUAUAGUUGAACAAGGGAGGCAGGGUCAUUGUAUACAGCUGAACCGGGAGGCCGGUUUAGCCUAUCUCUAUAGGAGAUCGGUCGUAACAGGGUGUGGGUGCAGAAAGCUACAGAGGACAUUUUCUGCAAACACUGUCAACAUUCCAAUCAGACCAGGGCUGAGGCAUCGGGGGUCCUUGAUAUGUCCAUGUCAACAACCCACAUUCACUAGGGACUUCUCUCACUCCCUAUAAUCCACAAGUUCGUAAAUGGAGGACCAAGCAGCUGCAGUUCUCCUUUAGGGGUACCAUGGUAGCACAUUCAGCAUUUCCCAUGGCUCUAGACCCUUAAGGUACCUUGAGCCUUCUUACCUAAGCCUAAAAUAGUGUGAAAAGCCCAUAUAGCAAAAAAUAAAAUAAAAAACAGGCAUGGUCCCUACAAAAUUUCAAGUUUCCCUGCCAGGGGCUGGAGAGAUGACUCAGCAGUUAGGAGGACUGGCUGCUCCCGAAGAACACUUGAGUUCAAUCCCAGCACCCACCUGGUGGUUCACAACCAUCUGUAACUCCAAUGCCAGGGGAUCUUGUGCCCUCUUCUGGCCACUGUAGGCACUGCAGAAAUAUGAUGCACAGCAAACAAAAUAAGAACACUCAAAAAUAAAAAUAAAUCUUGCUUACCUGCAAAAAACCAAUUGGCGUAAUCGUAUAAUAUCCCAGAAGAACUCAAAGAAACAAUAAAAGCAAGGUCCAAAAUACUCUGUUGGGAAAGGGCUGGUGGAGAUCUCUAAGGCCUUGGAAGGCAGGUACUGGUCUCUGCCUGGAGAUUAGGCUGGGGUCUGCUCACCUGUUGAGUGGCUAUGUUCAUGAGAUUCAAAUUAUGUAACAAGGGCUGAGGAAAUGGUCCAAUCUGUUCACUGCUUUUCAAGUAUGAGUUCUGAAGUUUGAUUCCCAGACUCUGUGUAAAAGAAAUUAGG